GACGAACGCUGGCGGCGUGCCUAAUACAUGCAAGUCGAACGCUGAAGGAGGAGCUUGCUCUUCUGGAUGAGUUGCGAACGGGUGAGUAACGCGUAGGUAACCUGCCUGGUAGCGGGGGAUAACUAUUGGAAACGAUAGCUAAUACCGCAUAACAGUAGAUGUUGCAUGACAUUUACUUAAAAGUUGCACUUGCAUCACUACCAGAUGGACCUGCGUUGUAUUAGCUAGUUGGUGGGGUAACGGCUCACCAAGGCGACGAUACAUAGCCGACCUGAGAGGGGGGUUGGGCACACUGGGAACGAGACAAGGGCCCGGACUCCUAGGGAAGGAGCCAGAGGGGAAUAUUGGAAAAGGACGGAAGGCUUAACGCAGCACGACGGGGGGGGGGAGGAAGGUCUCGGGUUGGUAAGGUCCGUUUUUAGAGAAGGAAGAGUGUGAGAGUGAAACGUUCAUAUUGUGACGGUAUCUAACCAGAAAGCGCCGGCUAACUACGUG
rnacentral:rRNA from 1 species